GAUGAACGCUUGCGGGAGGGCUAACACAUGCAAGCCGAGCGGUAUUGUUUCUUCCGAAAUGAGAGAACGGCGUACGGGUGCAGAACACCUGUGCAACCUGCCUUUAUCUGGGGGAUAGCCUUUCGAAAGGAAGAUUAAUACUCCAUAAUAUAUUGAACGGCAUCGUUUAAUAUUGAAAGCUCCGGCGGAUAGAGAUGGGCACGCGCAAAAUUAGCUAGUUGGGGAGGUAACGGCUCACCAAGGCAAUGAUCUUUAGGGGGCCUGAAAGGGUGAUCCCCCCCACUGGAACUGAAACACGGACCAAACUCCUACGGGAGGCAGCAGGGAGGAAUAUUGGUCAAUGGGUGCAAGCCUGAACCACCCUUCCCGCGUGAAGGACAACUGCCCUAUGGGUUGUAAACUUCUUUUGUAUAGGGAUAAACCUACCCUCGUGAGGGUAGCUGAAGGUACUAUACGAAUAAGCACCGGCUAACUCCGUGCCAGCAGCCGCGGUAAUACAGAGGGUGCAAGCGUUAUCCGGAUUUAUUGGGUUUAAAGGGUCCGUACGCGGACUUAUAAGUCAGAGGAGAAAGCCUGUCGCUUAACGAUAGAACUGCCAUUGAUACUGUAAGUCUUGAGUAUAUUUGAGGUAGGUAGGUUUAAGUAGUGCAGCGGUGAAAUGCAUAGAUAUUACGUAGAACACCCAUUGGGGAAGGCAGGUUAGCACGAUAUAACUGACUCUGACGGACGAAAGCGUGGGGAGCGCACAAGGAUUAGAUACCGUGGUAGUACACGCCGUAAGAGAUGCUAACUCGUUUGUGGGCUCUAGGGUUCAGAGACCAAGCGAAAGUGAUAAGUUAGCCACCUGGGGAGUACGCUCGCAAGAGUGAAACUCAAAGGAAUUGACGGGGGCCCGCACAAGCGGUGGAUUGUGUGGUUUAAUUCGAUGAUACGCGAGGAACCUUACCAAGAUUUAAAUGGGAAUUGACAGCUUUAGAAAUAGAGCUUUCUUCGGACAAUUUUCAAGCUCAGGCAUGGUUGUCGUCAGCUCGUCCCGUGAGGUGUUAGGUUAAGUCAUGCAACGAGCGCAACCCCUGUCACUAGUUGCCAUCAUUCAGUUGGGGACUCUAGUGAGACUGCCUACGCAAGUAGAGAGGAAGGUGGGGAUGACGUCAAAUCAUCACGGCCCUUAUGUCUGGGGCCACACACGUAAUACAAUGGCCGGUACAGAGGGCAGCUACACAGCGAUGUGAUGCAAAUCUCGAAAGCCGGUUUCAGUUCGGAUUGGAGUUUGCAACUUGACUCUAUGAAGCUGGAAUCGCUAGUAAUCGCGCAUCAGCCAUGGCGCGGUGAAUACGUUCCCGGGCCU
rnacentral:rRNA from 1 species